rnacentral:lncRNA from 1 species
AUGGCUGGGGCAGGAUGGAUGCAACCAGUCCUCACCAAGCCUGCAAGCCCCAGCACCUCCAUGAGCCUCUCAGCAGGACUGGAGAGGGACAAGAGCAGGCAGAGGGACCUGCCCGGGGACCAAGUGGAGAGCCCGGCAUCUCUAGAGGACCAGCCUUUCAGCAGCAACAGCCUCUACCCCAUGGGUCAGUUUAUUCAGAACGGCUCUGCAGUAAUGGGAUUAAGAAGCUCUUCACUGCUUGGAUCACUUCUCAGUGGGAAGAUCCAAAAUCAACUGAUGGAAAACAGGAUAAUUCCUCCUGCAGAGGGAGCAGGAUUGUUUGUGGAACCAAAUGAUCAAACACAUGCUGACAGGCAGUAA